AAAAGCUGGCCACCCCAGCCAGCAGCAGCAACCCACUCACGUCCCCUUCCAAGCUGUGGAAGCUUUGUUUUUUAGCUCUUCACAGUAAAUCUUGCUGCUGCUCACUCUUCAGGUCCAUGCCAUCUUUAAGAGCUGUAACACUCACCACGAAGGUCCGUGGCUUCAUUCUUGAAGUCACUGAGACCACAAGCCCACUGGAAGGAACCAACUCCGGACACAUCUUGGGUGUUCGUCUGGGAUAUUGCCACACGAGGUUGGAGAAGUCAUUAGUGGAUUGAAUACAAAUAUUUAUAGUAUAAAUUAUCUACAGUAUAAUCAUCUUUCAUGCAGCCUGUACUAACUUUGACAAAUUUAGGUUGUUACUCAGGCUGAACCUUUGGCUCCCAGAGGAGAUGCAGCUUCACUCUCAAGGCAUAGACUUUGCAUCCUCCUGAGCACCACCAGAUAUCUCUACUGAAGUCCACAGAACAAGACUAUUGGACUACAUGUUCUGUAUGUUCUCUAACAAAUAUUUAGACCUAAGGAUUUUGUUUCAAUGUUUUCCUUAGAGAGAUAAGAUUCAUUUAUGUCAUAUGGAAUGAUGAAUAAACCUGGCUUUGGGGAUUUGAUGGACCUUGUAUUUUUCUCUACAAGGCCUUCUGGAAAACAUCGCUUAAUUUAUCUGUUUCUUAAUUUCCCAUCUGUAAAAAAAAGUGGCAAUAAUGCUUAUCUUUUCAAAGUUUUAUGAGUUAGAUAAAAUAAGACAUGUAUAAUAUCUGAUCAAGUAAGUACUCAAUGGAUAGUAAUUUCCUCCUCUAAUUGUCUUCAAUAGGUCUAGAUUCAAUUUUUUUAAAACAAUGAUAAGACUUCAUUUGAGGGCUAUUGGACAAGGUUUGAGGUGGCAAUGAUGUUAGGUGUUUGCAAAUUCCAUCAUAGUGGCUAGAAUUAAGGCUUAUGAAUGUCAGGUUAUAAAUGGAUGCCUGAGUGAGUCCAAUGGCUCUGUGGCCCAAACCUAUACUGGAUUUUUUAUAUUUAUUCAAAGAGAUCAACAAAAAUGCUGCCACUCUUGUGUCUGAUAUUGCUCUAACUAUACAAUCUCUUCCAUUUCUUUUAGUAAAGAGAGCUAGAAGUAUUUCAUUUUAUAUUAAAUGUAAAUUAGUAGUUUACAUUCACUGUCUUUCCCCAGGUCUAAGUUAAUUCUAAUACUCUUUUCCACAAUAUAGUCAACAAAGAUAUAGAUUGCCUUAAAUUUCUGAAAAAAAGUGAUACAUUGGUCCAAUAUAUUGAUAACUUCAUGUUAAGGAGAAAGUGUCAAGUACACUGGAUGCUCUGCUAAUACACUUGUGUGUGAGUAAUAAUAAUAAAUAAAUAAUUUACCAUAUUUACCAUGUUGGCAAAUUUUGGGUAAGUACAUUGUUCAGAGACAUUACAAGAAAACCUCUCUAAAGUAAAGGAUGAGUUAUUGCUCUAUUCACCCCCUGCCAUUAAGAGAUAGAAUGUUUGUUGGGGAUAUUUGUAUUUUAAGUCAGCAUAAGUCACACCUGAGAAUAUUGCCCUAAUUCAUUUUCCAUUAGGUGACUUAGAAGACUAGCGUUAAAUAGGGCCCAAGUCAAGAAAAGGCUUUGCAGCAGGUCCAAGCUGUGGUUCAACCUUUUUUGCCACUUGGGUCAUACAAUCUUGCAGAUCCAUGAGUAGGGGAGAGGACACUGUUUGGAGUCUCUAGCAAAUUCCAGAAGAAGAGUCACAGGGUUCUAGAGCAAGACCACACCCUCUUCAGCAAGUAACUACUCAUCACUUGAAAAAUAGGUCCCACUUCUAGUUUCCAGUGUGGCAUGUAAGGAGCUUAGAAGUCUUUACUCCAUCUGAAUGAUAAUAAAAAGCUGAACAAACUGAGAAAUCAACAACUCUUAUAUCCAUUAAAGAAGUGAGGUCACAGGAAAACACUGCCCUCAAAACUAAAGGGACAGAUAGGUGAAUACAAAGAAUCACAACCCAGCUGGAAAGUU
rnacentral:lncRNA from 10 species